rnacentral:lncRNA from 1 species
GGGCGGUGGUAAAGAUGGUGCAUCCUCCAUUAUACCUUUUGCUCUCACCAAUAAAGCUAGUGUGCCUCCAGAUUUCUCAACUGCGCCUGAUAGCUUCUGCACUCCCGUAGAAACAGCAACAGUAUGCUUCCCUUCCACCUUAGAAUGUUUCGCAGAACCGGAAGGCAAGAUAGUAAUCUUCUUUUGAUUCCACGUGAACAUGUAUGAAUUCUCCUUCCCUUUAUGCAAAGCAUCAACGUCGAAUUGCCACAGGCGACCUAGCAAAAUGCCACAACAAU